UACGGAGGAUGCGAGCGUUAUCCGGAUUUAUUGGGUUUAAAGGGUGCGUAGGCGGGCUUUUAAGUCAGCGGUAAAAAUUCGGGGCUCAACCCCGUCCGGCCGUUGAAACUGGGGGCCUUGAGUGGGCGAGAAGAAGGCGGAAUGCGUGGUGUAGCGGUGAAAUGCAUAGAUAUCACGCAGAACCCCGAUUGCGAAGGCAGCCUUCCGGCGCCCUACUGACGCUGAGGCAUGAAAGUGCGGGGAUCGAACAGG
rnacentral:rRNA from 1 species